AACGAACGCUGGCGGCAGGCCUAACACAUGCAAGUCGAACGCUCUAGCAAUAGAGAGUGGCAGACGGGUGAGUAACGCGUGGGAACCUACCUAGUGGUACGGAAUAGCUCAGGGAAACUUGGGGUAAUACCGUAUGCGCCCGAAAGGGGAAGAUUUAUCGCCAUUAGAUGGGCCCGCGUAGGAUUAGCUAGUUGGUGAGGUAAUGGCUCACCAAGGCAACGAUCCUUAGCUGGUUUGAGAGAAUGACCAGCCACACUGGGACUGAGACACGGCCCAGACUCCUACGGGAGGCAGCAGUGGGGAAUCUUGGACAAUGGGCGCAAGCCUGAUCCAGCCAUGCCGCGUGAGUGACGAAGGCCUUAGGGUUGUAAAGCUCUUUUGGCGGGGACGAUAAUGACGGUACCCGCAGAAUAAGCCCCGGCUAACUUCGUGCCAGCAGCCGCGU
rnacentral:rRNA from 1 species